GAGUUGAUCAUGGCUCAGAAUGAACGCUGGCGGCAUGCCUAACACAUGCAAGUCGAACGAAGCCUUCGGGCCUAGUGGCGCACGGGUGCGUAACGCGUGGGAAUCUGCCCCUUGGUUCGGAAUAACAGUUGGAAACGACUGCUAAUACCGGAUGAUGACGAAAGUCCAAAGAUUUAUCGCCGAGGGAUGAGCCCGCGUAGGAUUAGGUAGUUGGUGAGGUAAAGGCUCACCAAGCCGAUGAUCCUUAGCUGGUCUGAGAGGAUGAUCAGCCACACUGGGACUGAGACACGGCCCAGACUCCUACGGGAGGCAGCAGUGGGGAAUAUUGGACAAUGGGCGAAAGCCUGAUCCAGCAAUGCCGCGUGAGUGAUGAAGGCUUUUGGGUUGUAAAGCUCUUUUACCCGGGAUGAUAAUGACAGUACCGGGAGAAUAAGCCCCGGCUAACUCCGUGCCAGCAGCCGCGGUAAU
rnacentral:rRNA from 1 species